UUUCUCUAAGGAUUCUUUGUGCCCUGCUUGGUUUCUUGGAAAGGCCUUAAAAUUGGUUUCUCCUCAGAAACUAAAGGAUCCAUUGCCUUGGAGAGAAGGGCCAGUUUGGACGUAGAAGGGAGCGAUACAUGAGAUCCCAUGACACACUGAAGAGAAGGAAGAGAGUUUGGGAGUCAUGAUGGUUUUGGGGACCAUUUUUCUAUGAUAUAAUCAGAGGCAGCCUGACAUGGAGUCAACCUAAAGGACGAAUUGUUGAGAGAGUUCGAGGACGUUUUCCAAGGCUGCCUGGGCAAGUACGUGGGGACCCCCAUUUCAUUCAAUUUGGACCCCCAGGUGGCUCCCAUUAGAUUAAAAGCUAGGAGGGUCCCGUUCACCCUAAAACCCAAGAUUGACACGGAACUAGACAAAUUAGUAAGCCAGGGAAUACUAGUCCCCGUCGACCAUGCAAAAUGGGAGACACCAAUAGUGACCCCAGUCAAACCGGACGGAUCAGUCCGGAUUUGCGCUGACUAUAAGGCAAUGCUUAACAAAGCAUUGCAAAAGAGUGCUUACCCCGUUCCCGUAGUGCAACAUCUGUUGCACUCGUUAGGACAGGGACAGGUUUUUGCCAAACUCAAUCUGGCCCAAGCCUACCAACAAUUACCAGUUGACGGCGAAACGGCCAAAGCACAGACGAUUGUCACACAUCGGGGCGCUUUUAAAUGCACUCGACUUCAGUUCGGAGUUAGUGUAGCCCCCGGGUUAUUC